AGCAGCCGCGGUAAUUCCAGCUCCAAUAGCGUAUAUUAAAGUUGUUGCAGUUAAAAAGCUCGUAGUUGAAUUUUGGAUUCUGCCAAUUGGUCCAUCUUUUAGAUGAGUACUGGUUGUGUGGGGUCUAUCCGCCUGGUGAUACGUAAUGUCCUUUAUUGGAUGUUGCGGGUAGUCAGGACCUUUACCUUGAAAAAAUUAGAGUGUUUAAAGCAGGCUUAUGCCGGAAUACAUUAGCAUGGAAUAAUAGAAUAGGACGAAGUUGUUUUAUUUUGUUGGUUUCUAGGACAACCGUAAUGAUUAAUAGGGAUAGUUGGGGGCAUUAGUAUUCAAUUGUCAGAGGUGAAAUUCUUGGAUUUAUUGAAGACUAACUACUGCGAAAGCAUUUGCCAAGGAUGUUUUCAUUAAUCAAGAACGAAAGUUAGGGGAUCGAAGACGAUCAGAUACCGUCGUAGUCUUAACCAUAAACUAUGCCGACUAGGGAUCGGAUGAUGUUAAUUUUCUAAUGACUCAUUCGGCACCU
rnacentral:misc_RNA from 1 species